rnacentral:rRNA from 1 species
GGCGGCAGGCCUAACACAUGCAAGUCGAGCGGCAAGCACGGGUACUUGUACCUGGUGGCGAGCGGCGGACGGGUGAGUAAUGCCUAGGAAUCUGCCUGGUAGUGGGGGAUAACGCUCGGAAACGGACGCUAAUACCGCAUACGUCCUACGGGAGAAAGCAGGGGACCUUCGGGCCUUGCGCUAUCAGAUGAGCCUAGGUCGGAUUAGCUAGUUGGUGAGGUAAUGGCUCACCAAGGCGACGAUCCGUAACUGGUCUGAGAGGAUGAUCAGUCACACUGGAACUGAGACACGGUCCAGACUCCUACGGGAGGCAGCAGUGGGGAAUAUUGGACAAUGGGCGAAAGCCUGAUCCAGCCAUGCCGCGUGUGUGAAGAAGGUCUUCGGAUUGUAAAGCACUUUAAGUUGGGAGGAAGGGCAGUUACCUAAUACGUGAUUGUUUUGACGUUACCGACAGAAUAAGCACCGGCUAACUCUGUGCCAGCAGCCGCGGUAAUACAGAGGGUGCAAGCGUUAAUCGGAAUUACUGGGCGUAAAGCGCGCGUAGGUGGUUCGUUAAGUUGGAUGUGAAAGCCC